CUCGUGGAAUCUUUCCCAGUCUCACUCUCGUGCUUCUCUUCUCUCCACUUCGAGGCGACAAAGGCGGCGGCGGGGUCGGAGUGGACGGCGGCGGCGACUCCCCGGUGGGAAGCUCCCGGCGUAGGCUACUCUCCGGAGUGAAGCUUCCAGCAUCGACGAUCUGCCACGUAGCCCGGCCGAAACCCUAGCUCCCCGCUUCGUGCCAUCUCCCCCGCCGCCUCACUCCGGAGAAGAGGAAGCUGCCGGCGACAAGGUCACCAGGUUGGUAGAUCUGGGAGAUUUGAUUGACCGCCUUGGUCUGGCUGUGAAUCUGUUCACCUGCGAGGAUCGGCCUAACUUGACAGUUCUUUCUCUGCGUUGAAGUUUAUGAUGGAGGGACGCAAUGUGGUCACGCUUGUGAUAAUGCUUGGAUGCAUCAUAGCUCUGUCAGACGCUCGAACCACCGUUCUGAUGAACGGCAGCAGCAAACUUGAAAUCUGCAUAUGCCCGAAGUAUGGAAAUGUCUUCUGUUGCGCGGAUUCAACUGACCCCUGCUUUCCGUCCAAGCUGGAGUGCAUCAAAGGCUGCGGAUGCGGCGCGGACGCGCAAUCCACCCCUCAUGCCCUGCCAUGACCUUCUGGCUUAGUUCUGAUGGUGUUUGAUGCUACCAUGAGGAAGAAAUAACUAUGUAGUCGAAGUUCUGAAUAAAGAAGCAUGAGGCAGAGUCAUAUGCUAUGUUUUGUGAUUAUGUGUGGUGAUGGCGUGGACCUCAUGUGUGUCUUCCAUCUAUUUUCAGAGAAGUGAUUCAGUUGAACGGAAUAGAGAAUGUAAUGGCUAUAUAUGCAGGUGUUGUCCAUC